rnacentral:rRNA from 1 species
GAUGAACGCUCGCUACAGGCUUAACACAUGCAAGUCGAGGGGAAACGACAUCGAAAGCUUGCUUUUGAUGGGCGUCGACCGGCGCACGGGUGAGUAACGCGUAUCCAACCUGCCCAUCACUUGGGAAUAACCUUGCGAAAGUAAGACUAAUACCCAAUGAUAUCCCACGAAGGCAUCGGAAUGGGAUUAAAGAUUUAUCGGUGAUGGAUGGGGAUGCGUCUGAUUAGCUUGUUGGCGGGGUAACGGCCCACCAAGGCAACGAUCAGUAGGGGUUCUGAGAGGAAGGUCCCCCACAUUGGAACUGAGACACGGUCCAAACUCCUACGGGAGGCAGCAGUGAGGAAUAGUGGUCAAUGGGCGAGAGCCUGAACCAGCCAAGUAGCGUGCAGGAAGACGGCCCUAUGGGUUGUAAACUGCUUUUAUAAGGGAAUAAAGUGGGUCACGUGUGACUUUUUGCAUGUACCUUAUGAAUAAGGACCGGCUAAUUCCGUG